AUUGAACGCUGGCGGCAUGCCUUACACAUGCAAGUCGAACGGCAGCACGGGUGCUUGCACCUGGUGGCGAGUGGCGAACGGGUGAGUAAUACAUCGGAACAUGUCCUGUAGUGGGGGAUAGCCCGGCGAAAGCCGGAUUAAUACCGCAUACGAUCUACGGAUGAAAGCGGGGGACCUUCGGGCCUCGCGCUAUAGGGUUGGCCGAUGGCUGAUUAGCUAGUUGGUGGGGUAAAGGCCUACCAAGGCGACGAUCAGCAGCUGGUCUGAGAGGACGACCAGCCACACUGGGACUGAGACACGGCCCAGACUCCUACGGGAGGCAGCAGUGGGGAAUUUUGGACAAUGGGCGAAAGCCUGAUCCAGCAAUGCCGCGUGUGUGAAGAAGGCCUUCGGGUUGUAAAGCACUUUUGUCCGGAAAGAAAUCCUUGGUCCUAAUACGGUCGGGGGAUGACGGUACCGGAAGAAUAAGCACCGGCUAACUACGUG
rnacentral:rRNA from 1 species